UGGCAAUGAUGAAAAAAAGGCUGGGCAUACAUCUGCUUUGGAUUUCAUCCAUUGGUGGUAGAGUGAUGAGACUUAUUAAAGGUUCUUGCUGAACCAG